UGGAAACUCUAAAAGUGAAGGAAAGACUGGAGACGAGGUGCAGCCCCUGAGAAUCUGUGGUUCUCCCGUGUAUUCCUUCACUAUUGAGGACCUGUUUUAUUCUGCCUUAUGACUGGUCACUGCCAAGGUACAACUGACUGCAUAAGGACUUCUGAACAAGCACCAACAUCCACUACUGUUCAAUACCAGCCACAGAAAUUGCUUCCAGUCGUGAAGCACUAAACCUUUUGGUUGAGAGAUCUGAUCCUCCAGUGGACGUGGAUGAGGAUGAUGGAAACAGCCCCUGAAGUAUUGCCAUGAAGGAGUGAUGGUGGAGCAAAGGGACAAGGAAGUGAUUAACAGCAGGACACUGAUGACAGCAAUAGAGCUUGCAUUUCUGGUCCAAUUCAAUAACGCAAUGCCAACACUGUGUAAAACAAGAGAAAAGCCAUUGGCACCAUGAAACCACACAAAAUAAAUUCUACUCUAUGUCUUAGAGAUUUAGAAAUCAGGCAUAAGUGUUUUUUUUUUAAAGUUGCAGAUGUUGUAAUUGUUUAAGACAAUAGUUACAUGACUUGUAGAAUUAUUUUUACAUUGACUAGGCUCUGGAACUUAUGAUAGAAAAGAUUUUUCUCAGAACUAUACUCACUAAUAUUCUUGGAUUCAUGAGUGAUAUUAAAAAAAAAGCUCAUUUUUUCCCCUUAUACUUUCAGUGGAACUGCAAGAUUAGAUGAUUUAUUUUUAUCUAACUGAACCCCUAAAGCAGAAAUCAGACAUAGUACUUUUGUUUGCUCAAAGCGUUAGGACUGUCUGGGAUAACAGAGGAUGCAGAAGUUUAAAUGACAACUCCAAACCUCAUCAUCAUUUCUCUUGGCUCCUAUGCAGCCAUUUGUUAGUUCUAAUACAUGUGUGUGUGUGUGUGUGUGUGUCAGAGAGAGAGAGAUUCCAGCUUCUUGGGCCAGGAUGUUGAGUAAUAAGUGAGAUAAAGUGGUAUGUGUGAUAUGAUGAGACCAGCACAAUCUGGUGGGUUUCACAGUAUGUACUGAGUUCAAACUGAUAACAUAUAUGUAUGUGUGUGCAUGAAUUAUAACAUACAUUUUGAGAGAGAAAGAAAAACUCAAAAGGAGCCAAGAAAAAUUCUUCACAAGAUUGUUUCCAAUAAUAACAAUAGAAAAAUAACAAUGUCAUUAGGUAUUUAAUACUCAGUUUUAUAACUUUUUUAAGCUAAUAAAUAACAUAAAAUAUAGGCAAUUAUAUUUAUUAUAUUUACUUAAAUAUUCUCUACAUUUUUCUGAUGUGGUUACGAGAU